AAACCAAGAAGAUUAAGUCAUGCAUUUUCGGUGAAAAGACAGUUAAGUAAUAUAAAAGCUUUUUAAAUUGUUAUUAAGAAGUAAAAUUCGCAAAUAAUCUAGAAACUUAAUUAAAGCUAAAAAACUGAAGCUGUGACACCCUCGAGGGAAACUGGGAUUAGAUACCCCAUUAUUCUUGGAUAUAAAAAGAUAUAAGUUUACCAGAGUACUAUGGAUUGAUAACAUUUAAAACUCAAAGAGCUUGGCGGUGUUUUAGACUCUUUAGGGGAACCUGUCUCAUAAUCGACAAUCCACGUUAAACCUGACCUUUAUUUGCAUUCAGUUUGUAUACCGUCGUCGUCAGGUAACUUUUUAGAAAAAAGGAGUUAGCAAUUGAGUUAAUGAUAAACUCUCACGUCAGAUCAAGGUGCAGCCGACAUAAAGGGGAGGAUGGGUUACAAUUAUAAGAAUUAUAACUACGGAAUAACAACUUUAAAUAGAAGUUAUGAAGGAGGACUUAAAAGUAAAAUAAAAUAGUUAAAUAUAUUGAAUCGAGCUCUGAAACGUGC
rnacentral:rRNA from 1 species